GAAAUUAUUUGAUGAUCUUCUAAGAGUCAAGCGUGAGCAGCAUCGCCGACAAUCUGAGCGUGAUUCUAAACGCCAGAAAAUGAUGACAGACCUUGAAGCAAGAGAACGAUCUGCAUUUGCUCCUGACCCUGCUGCAAAAGAACUAGAAGAGGAAGAAAAAAUUGCCAGAAAGCUAAAGGAAGAGAUUGCUAGAAUUCGUGCAAUGCAUGCAAUGAAAGGAGCACCUACAACAUUUCCACCAAAGAAGGAGACUGGGGGAGUUGGAAAGAAUAGUGAUGGUGAUGCUGGAUCUACAAUGGACAAGGAGAGGAUGCUUAAGGUUUCAUGGGAGAAGAUUGGUGAGGAUU
rnacentral:misc_RNA from 1 species